rnacentral:rRNA from 1 species
UACGUAGGGCGCGAGCGUUGUCCGGAAUUAUUGGGCGUAAAGAGCUCGUAGGCGGCCGGUUGCGUCUGCUGUGAAAUCCCGGGGCUUAACCCCGGGCGUGCAGUGGAUACGGGCCGGCUGGAGGCAGGCAGGGGAGAAUGGAAUUCCCGGUGUAGCGGUGAAAUGCGCAGAUAUCUGGAGGAACACCGGUGGCGAAGGCGGCAUCCUGGACCGACACUGACACUGAGGAGCGAAAGCCAGGGGAGCAAACGGG